CAGUGCUCCGGAAUUUGCAGAGGCUUUCUAAAUAAACAGUAAUAAAGAUCACCGAAAGCUCAAGUUACAGCCUUGUUAUGAAGCGCUGCACAUCUGGAAGGCAUACGUGUAACCUGGGACAAAUGAAGGAGAACAUUUGAGAUUUCUUCAAAGAAAAUACUUUGGCUUUAAUCAGUGGACUGGCGACUUCUGGAUCUGCCGUGAGAACCAAAGAUCCAUUAUUUCUUCCGGCUAGAUUCACUGUCAUCCAGCAGUGAGGAAAAUAUGUCAAAGGACUGGAACCUCUGAUGUUGUUCUCUUUUGGUUUUUAUGCUGUUGGGAAUAGAGGAGCCCAGGAUAUCCUGUCCAGAGCCAGGCUCAAGAGAGGAAGGUGUGUCUGAAAGAAGAGAGGCAUAUUUAACCAAAGCCAGUCAGACUGGAGGAUAAUGGUUGAGCAAUAAUGAUAAAUAUAUGGGUUUAAUUUAUUGUGUAUUCAGUGUAUUGUGUUACAUUUGUCCAUGUCAGAGAGCUGUCAGAUCGAAUAGAACUAAAAAGGUGUUUUUAAGAAAUUACUAAAUAAAACAACUUUCUUCAUAAUGAAACAAAAUGUAUUUCAAAACACUAUACAUAACACUUUUCACUAUACAUUAACAACAACAAAAAAAAAAAAUCAGUGUUGUAGAAGUAAUUGGUUCUGAAGCAGUAUCUGUCUCUUGUUUUUCUCUGCCAUGCUGGUUCUGACUGCAUGCACUAGUGAUGUGCGGGUUGAGAAAAACUGACCCAAACCCACACCUGCUGACCUGCAUCCCCCCUCCAUUUAUGGAUAAGCCCUGCCCACCAAUUAUGUCAUAAAAGAGGCAGGCAGGUGCACAACCAUAAAGCCAGAAUUCGGAAGCCGGCAGUGUAAUUGUACAGCAAGGUUGGCCCGGGUCCCACUGAUAUUGGGCCAGCCCGCACUUCACUUACAUGCACGAUUGAAAAAACCGCAUCAAGACUCUGCUUUCCUCCAACCAGUUGGGUAACUAGAUGUUAUUGGACCCCAUAGCUAAUUCAAUUUAGGGCUCCAAAACAGCAGUAAGUUCACCUGUUCUACCACGAUUUUUUGAAAACUGCUCAUUAAUCAGGGCCUUACUAAUCCCUCUACACUCCUGCAACUACAGGGACUGCUGUGGGAACUGGAGUCCAGGCUGGAGGAGAGGUUUCUAGUUACUGCUACAUUGUCCCCCCAUUUCAUGCAUAUCAGAGGUCCCCAGGCGUGUUGCAGACUCACAUACUUGUCCACUCCCCCUGUACAUGCUCGUGCCCGUUCCCUGCAGAAGCACAGGUGGGACAGGUACCUGGAUGUAUUGCCAAGGGUUCCCAGACAGUUAGACUCAACACUGCUGCCUUGUUCAGGGUGGGGUUUACUUCCAUAAUUUCCCAGUGUCAGUAGAUGAAUUUGCACAUGAUUCAUGCAAGUACCUCAAUGAAUAGCUUAAAUACCUCCAUUUUAACACAACUGUACUUUCAACUGUGUUGGUAAAUUGCCCUUUAGGUUUACCAUCUGUUGGUAUUGCGCUAGGCAAAAAAAACGGUUAUAGAAAAAAAUUCUCUUAAAGGGUAAGCAAUAAAAUGUUCUCAGUUCUUUUCAA